rnacentral:rRNA from 1 species
AGCGUACACGGUGGAUGCCCUGGCAGUCAGAGGCGAUGAAGGACGUGCUAAUCUGCGAUAAGCGUCGGUAAGGUGAUAUGAACCGUUAUAACCGGCGAUUUCCGAAUGGGGAAACCCAGUGUGAUUCGUCACACUAUCAUUAACUGAAUCCAUAGGUUAAUGAGGCGAACCGGGGGAACUGAAACAUCUAAGUACCCCGAGGAAAAGAAAUCAACCGAGAUUCCCCCAGUAGCGGCGAGCGAACGGGGAGCAGCCCAGAGCCUGAAUCAGUGUGUGUGUUAGUGGAAGCGUCUGGAAAGGCGCGCGAUACAGGGUGACAGCCCCGUACACAAAAAUGCACAUACUGUGAGCUCGAUGAGUAGGGCGGGACACGUGGUAUCCUGUCUGAAUAUGGGGGGACCAUCCUCCAAGGCUAAAUACUCCUGACUGACCGAUAGUGAACCAGUACCGUGAGGGAAAGGCGAAAAGAACCCCGGCGAGGGGAGUGAAAAAGAACCUGAAACCGUGUACGUACAAGCAGUGGGAGCCUCUUAAUGGGGUGACUGCGUACCUUUUGUAUAAUGGGUCAGCGACUUAUAUUCUGUAGCAAGGUUAACCGAAUAGGGGAGCCGAAGGGAAACCGAGUCUUAACUGGGCGUUAAGUUGCAGGGUAUAGACCCGAAACCCGGUGAUCUAGCCAUGGGCAGGUUGAAGGUUGGGUAACACUAACUGGAGGACCGAACCGACUAAUGUUGAAAAAUUAGCGGAUGACUUGUGGCUGGGGGUGAAAGGCCAAUCAAACCGGGAGAUAGCUGGUUCUCCCCGAAAGCUAUUUAGGUAGCGCCUCGUGAAUUCAUCUCCGGGGGUAGAGCACUGUUUCGGCAAGGGGGUCAUCCCGACUUACCAACCCGAUGCAAACUGCGAAUACCGGAGAAUGUUAUCACGGGAGACACACGGCGGGUGCUAACGUCCGUCGUGAAGAGGGAAACAACCCAGACCGCCAGCUAAGGUCCCAAAGUCAUGGUUAAGUGGGAAACGAUGUGGGAAGGCCCAGACAGCCAGGAUGUUGGCUUAGAAGCAGCCAUCAUUUAAAGAAAGCGUAAUAGCUCACUGGUCGAGUCGGCCUGCGCGGAAGAUGUAACGGGGCUAAACCAUGCACCGAAGCUGCGGCAGCGACGCUUAUGCGUUGUUGGGUAGGGGAGCGUUCUGUAAGCCUGUGAAGGUGUACUGUGAGGUAUGCUGGAGGUAUCAGAAGUGCGAAUGCUGACAUAAGUAACGAUAAAGCGGGUGAAAAGCCCGCUCGCCGGAAGACCAAGGGUUCCUGUCCAACGUUAAUCGGGGCAGGGUGAGUCGACCCCUAAGGCGAGGCCGAAAGGCGUAGUCGAUGGGAAACAGGUUAAUAUUCCUGUACUUGGUGUUACUGCGAAGGGGGGACGGAGAAGGCUAUGUUGGCCGGGCGACGGUUGUCCCGGUUUAAGCGUGUAGGCUGGUUUUCCAGGCAAAUCCGGAAAAUCAAGGCUGAGGCGUGAUGACGAGGCACUACGGUGCUGAAGCAACAAAUGCCCUGCUUCCAGGAAAAGCCUCUAAGCAUCAGGUAACAUCAAAUCGUACCCCAAACCGACACAGGUGGUCAGGUAGAGAAUACCAAGGCGCUUGAGAGAACUCGGGUGAAGGAACUAGGCAAAAUGGUGCCGUAACUUCGGGAGAAGGCACGCUGAUAUGUAGGUGAAGCGACUUGCUCGUGGAGCUGAAAUCAGUCGAAGAUACCAGCUGGCUGCAACUGUUUAUUAAAAACACAGCACUGUGCAAACACGAAAGUGGACGUAUACGGUGUGACGCCUGCCCGGUGCCGGAAGGUUAAUUGAUGGGGUUAGCGGUAACGCGAAGCUCUUGAUCGAAGCCCCGGUAAACGGCGGCCGUAACUAUAACGGUCCUAAGGUAGCGAAAUUCCUUGUCGGGUAAGUUCCGACCUGCACGAAUGGCGUAAUGAUGGCCAGGCUGUCUCCACCCGAGACUCAGUGAAAUUGAACUCGCUGUGAAGAUGCAGUGUACCCGCGGCAAGACGGAAAGACCCCGUGAACCUUUACUAUAGCUUGACACUGAACAUUGAGCCUUGAUGUGUAGGAUAGGUGGGAGGCUUUGAAGUGUGGACGCCAGUCUGCAUGGAGCCGACCUUGAAAUACCACCCUUUAAUGUUUGAUGUUCUAACGUUGACCCGUAAUCCGGGUUGCGGACAGUGUCUGGUGGGUAGUUUGACUGGGGCGGUCUCCUCCUAAAGAGUAACGGAGGAGCACGAAGGUUGGCUAAUCCUGGUCGGACAUCAGGAGGUUAGUGCAAUGGCAUAAGCCAGCUUGACUGCGAGCGUGACGGCGCGAGCAGGUGCGAAAGCAGGUCAUAGUGAUCCGGUGGUUCUGAAUGGAAGGGCCAUCGCUCAACGGAUAAAAGGUACUCCGGGGAUAACAGGCUGAUACCGCCCAAGAGUUCAUAUCGACGGCGGUGUUUGGCA